rnacentral:lncRNA from 1 species
GUGUGGCAUCUUCUAUCUUCUGGCUGCAGAGGCUCUCCCUGCUGUGUGCUCAACAACCUUUGAACCCUAAGUGCUGUCCAUGCAGAUGAGGCAAAGGGAAUUUCCCAGGUUCUGGGAUUAGGAUGUGGACCUCUUCAGGAACCAUUCUUCUGCCUAUCACAAUGGAUGCCCAGAGGCCUAAGAGAUUGUUUUCGAGCAGAGGAGAGAUGACAGAACCCAGACCAGCCCAGAGAAGAAGGACAAGCAGAAGGGAUGGGCAAGGAAAGACAAACAACAUGGCCUGAUUCAGAGACACUGGCUGAGCGAGCAGGAUAAGAAAAUAACAACAGGGAACAGAUGAGGACCCCUGGUCCAGCAUGGUCUGAGUACAUAGGAAACCUCAAUGAAUGCUAAAUAGUUGGAUGGAUGAAUAGAUGGGCACUCAUCUACAGGAUUCUGAUACAGUCAUGGCAUGCACCACAUUGUCUCAUCUUGGGACUAAACAUCCCAGUAUGACAGCUAGGAAGGAUUCAAUUAAUCCCUAUUCAUUAAUUCAAGGCAGCAUAAGAGAUGAUCCAGGGUGUGGCUUCAGGAGUCAGGCUGCCUGAAUUCAAAUUCCUAUUCCAAGAUUUCCUAGCUGUUCUA